rnacentral:rRNA from 1 species
UACGUAGGGGGCGAGCGUUACCCGGAUUUACUGGGCGUAAAGCGCGUGUAGGCGGCUGGUCAAGCGUGGUGUGAAAUCUCCGGGCUCAACCCGGAAACUGCAUUGCGAACUGACCUAGCUGGAGUGCAGGAGAGGGCAGCGGAAUUCCCGGUGUAGCGGUGAAAUGCGUAGAUAUCGGGAAGAACACCCGUGGCGAAAGCGGCUCUCUGGAACGGUACUGACGCUGAGACGCGAAAGCGUGGGGAGCGAUCCGG